UCGGGAAUUUUGGGCAAUGGGCGAAAGCCUGACCCAGCAACGCCGCGUGAGGGAUGAAGUAUUUCGGUAUGUAAACCUCGAAAGAAUGGGAAGAAUAAAUGACGGUACCAUUUAUAAGCUCCGGCUAACUACGUGCCAGCAGCCGCGGUAAUACGUAGGGAGCAAGCGUUGUUCGGAUUUACUGGGCGUAAAGGGCGCGUAGGCGGCGCGGUAAGUCACUUGUGAAAUCUCUGAGCUUAACUCAGAACGGCCAAGUGAUACUGCUGUGCUAGAGUGCGGAAGAGGCAACCGGAAUUCUUGGUGUAGCGGUGAAAUGCGUAGAGAUCAGGAGGAACACCUGAGGCGAAGGCGGGUUGCUGGGCCGACACUGACGCUGAUGCGCGAAAGCCAGGGGAGCAAACG
rnacentral:rRNA from 1 species